CAGUUAGACUAACAGUUGAAGGAUAAUUUUUUUUUUGCUUUAUUAUUCUGGUUUUCAUGUUUCGUUUUAUCGCUGAAUUCAUGUAACUUUAAUUUUGUUUUUAGCUGUUAACGUUAUUUUCAUGUAUAUGUAUUGAAAUUUAUACAAUUUCACUAACUAUGGAUGACAUUGAAUUAUUAUAUCAACUGUAAUUAUGUUCAAUUACUGACUGCUUGGUUUUGCCGUUUGUGUGUUAGACUUGCUCAACCUUCAACUCAUGUUUAAUCUAGAUUGUUUAAUCAUUGGAAGAACACUUUAUUAGUUAAUGAUUUGAUUAGUUCCGAGGCAAGUUUAUUUAUUUUACAAAUUGCUAAUCAAAUUGAUCGUUUACUCUUCGGCUGGAUUGUGAUUUCUUGUUAGGCAAUCUUGAUUAAUGAAAGGAAACUUUGAGUCAUUUUUGUUUAUUUAUUAAUAAGGCAUUUCUUGUUUAUUGGUAAUAAUAUUAAAAGUCUUAAGGCAUCGAUGA